AGAGUUUGAUCCUGGCUCAGGGUUAACGCUGGCGGCGUGCCUAACGCAUGCAAGUCGAGCGAGGGCUUUCCUCUCGCAAGGGAGGGGGGUUCCUAGCGGCGAACGGGUGAGUAACACGUGGGCAACCUUUUCCAUGGUGGGGGAUAACACCGGGAAACCGGUGCUAAUACCGCAUGAGGUCUUUGGGGGCAUCCUCGAAGAAGAAAGCAGAGAUGCGCGAUGGGGUGGGCCCGCGGCCUAUCAGCUAGUCGGUGGGGUGACGGCCUACCGAGGCAUUGACGGGUAGCUGGUCUGAGAGGACGGCCAGCCACACGGGGACUGAGACACGGCCCCGACUCCUACGGGAGGCAGCAGCGGGGAAUAUUCCGCAAUGGGCGCAAGCCUGACGGAGCGACGCCGCGUGUGGGAUGAAGUCUUUCGGGAUGUAAACCACUGUCGGAGGGGAAGAGGAUGGACGGUACCCUCCAAGAAAGCCCCGGCUAACUACGUGCCAGCAGCCGCGGUAAUACGUAGGGGGCGAGCGUUACCCGGAUUUACUGGGCGUAAAGCGCGUGUAGGCGGCUGGUCAAGCGUGGUGUGAAAUCUCCGGGCUCAACCCGGAAACUGCACUGCGAACUGGCCUGGCUGGAGUGCAGGAGAGGGCAGCGGAAUUCCCGGUGUAGCGGUGAAAUGCGUAGAUAUCGGGAAGAACACCAGUGGCGAAGGCGGCUGCCUGGCCUGUAACUGACGCUGAGACGCGAAAGCGUGGGGAGCGAACCGGAUUAGAUACCCGGGUAGUCCACGCCCUAAACGUUGCGAAUUAGGUGUUGGCGGGAUUGACCUCGUCAGUGCCGGAGCUAACGCAUUAAGUUCGCCGCCUGGGAAGUACGGCCGCAAGGUUAAAACUCAAAGGAAUAGGCGGGGGCCCGCACAAGCAGCGGAGCGUGUUCUUUAAUUCGAUGCAACGCG
rnacentral:rRNA from 1 species